UACGAAGGGGGCUAGCGUUGUUCGGAAUUACUGGGCGUAAAGCGCACGUAGGCGGCUCGCUAAAUUAGGAGUGAAAGCCCUGGGCUCAACCCGGGAAUUGCUUUUAAGACUGGCGAGCUUGAAUCCGGAAGAGGGUAGCGGAAUUCCCAGUGUAGAGGUGAAAUUCGUAGAUAUUGGGAAGAACACCGGUGGCGAAGGCGGCUACCUGGUCCGGUAUUGACGCUGAUGUGCGAAAGCGUGGGGAG
rnacentral:rRNA from 1 species